CCCUAGAAACAUCUAGAUGAUGG
rnacentral:siRNA from 1 species